CUGGUGUAGCGGUGGAAUGCGCAGAUAUCAGGAGGAACACCGAUGGCGAAGGCAGAUCUCUGGGCCGUAACUGACGCUGAGGAGCGAAAGGGUGGGGAGCAAACAGGCUUAGAUACCCUGGUAGUCCACCCCGUAAACGUUGGGAACUAGUUGUGGGGUCCAUUCCACGGAUUCCGUGACGCAGCUAACGCAUUAAGUUCCCCGCCUGGGGAGUACGGCCGCAAGGCUAAAACUCAAAGGAAUUGACGGGGACCCGCACAAGCGGCGGAGCAUGCGGAUUAAUUCGAUGCAACGCGAAGAACCUUACCAAGGCUUGACAUAUACGAGAACGGGCCAGAAAUGGUCAACUCUUUGGACACUCGUAAACAGGUGGUGCAUGGUUGUCGUCAGCUCGUGUCGUGAGAUGUUGGGUUAAGUCCCGCAACGAGCGCAACCCUCGUUCUAUGUUGCCAGCACGUAAUGGUGGGAACUCAUGGGAUACUGCCGGGGUCAACUCGGAGGAAGGUGGGGAUGACGUCAAAUCAUCAUGCCCCUUAUGUCUUGGGCUUCACGCAUGCUACAAUGGCCGGUACAAAGGGCUGCAAUACCGCGAGGUGGAGCGAAUCCCAAAAAGCCGGUCCCAGUUCGGAUUGAGGUCUGCAACUCGACCUCAUGAAGUCGGAGUCGCUAGUAAUCGCAGAUCAGCAACGCUGCGGUGAAUACGUUCCCGGGUCUUGUACACACCGCCCGUCAAGUCAUGAAAGUCGGUAACACCUGAAGCCGGUGGCCUAACCCUUGUGGAGGGAGCCGUCGAAGGUGGGAUCGGUAAUUAGGACUAAGUCGUAACAAGGUAGCCGUAUUUAUCGGAGAGUUUGAUCCUGGCUCAG
rnacentral:rRNA from 1 species